AGCGAACGCUGGCGGCAGGCCUAAUACAUGCAAGUCGAGCGCCCGUAGCAAUACGGGAGCGGCAGACGGGUGAGUAACACGUGGGAACGUACCCUUCGGUUCGGAAUAACCCAGGGAAACUUGGGUUAAUACCGGAUACGCCUUACGGGAAAGAUUUAUUGCCGAGGAUCGGCCCGCGUCCGAUUAGCUAGUUGGUGGGGUAAUGGCCCACCAAGGCGACGAUCGGUAGCUGGUCUGAGAGGAUGANCAGCCACACUGGGACUGAGACACGGCCCAGACUCCUACGGGAGGCAGCAGUAGGGAAUAUUGGACAAUGGGCGCAAGCCUGAUCCAGCCAUGCCGCGU
rnacentral:rRNA from 1 species